UGGGGAAUUUUGCACAAUGGGGGAAACCCUGAUGCAGCGACGCCGCGUGAGUUAGAAGGCCUUCGGGUUGUAAAAAUCUUUUUUACGGGAUGAAAAUGACAGUACCGUAAGAAUAAGGUCCGGCUAAAUACGUGCCAGCAGCCGCGGUAAUACGUAUGGACCGAGCGUUGUCCGGAAUCAUUGGGCGUAAAGGGUACGUAGGCGGCCUAGUAAGUUAGAAGUGAAAUAAUAUAGCUCAACUAUAUAAAGCUUUUAAAACUGCUAGGCUUGAGAGAUGGAAGGGAAAGUGGAAUUCCUAGUGUAGCGGUGAAAUGCGCAGAUAUUAGGAAGAAUACCGGUGGCGAAGGCGACUUUCUGGUCAUCAUCUGACGCUGAGGUACGAAAGCGUGGGUAGCAAACAGG
rnacentral:rRNA from 1 species